GUGAGGAAUAUUGGACAAUGGGCGCAAGCCUGAUCCAGCCAUGCCGCGUGCAGGAAGACGCAUCUAUGGUGUGUAAACUGCUUUUGUACGGGAAGAAACACUCCCUCGUGAGGGAGCUUGACGGUACCGUAAGAAUAAGGAUCGGCUAACUCCGUGCCAGCAGCCGCGGUAAUACGGAGGAUCCAAGCGUUAUCCGGAAUCAUUGGGUUUAAAGGGUCCGUAGGCGGUUUAAUAAGUCAGUGGUGACAGCCCAUCGCUCAACGAUGGAACGGCCAUUGAUACUGUUAGACUUGAAUUACAAGUAAGUAACUAGAAUAUGUAGUGUAGCGGUGAAAUGCUUAGAUAUUACAUGGAAUACCAAUUGCGAAGGCAGGUUACUACUUGUGGAUUGACGCUGAUGGACGAAAGCGUGGGGAGCGAACAGGAUUAGAAACCCGAGUAGUCC
rnacentral:rRNA from 1 species